GGAUUAUGUGGCUUAUGUCUGGGCCAAGCAUGAAGAAGUGGAUGGGAAUAUCUACCAGGUGACCUUCAGUGAGGAGUCACUGCCCAAGGGCCAUGGCGACUUCAUCCUGGGUUACUAUAGCCACCACCACAGCAUCCUCAUUGGUGUCACAGAACCCUUUCAGGUAAACGGAUCAGACUGUCAGGCCAAAGCAGGCCAAGAUGUCCCAGUCCAACGUCACAUCUUCCACAUCUUCCACGUUCUCUCUGUGACCUUAGACCAGUAGCCCAGCCUCACUGGGUCUGCCAACAGGGAAGGAGGGUUCUCAUUCUGCCACUUUCGUCCACAAACCCGCCCGCCUCUCUCUUGCUGCUGCUCCAGCCGUUAACCACAUCUGCCACUCUGUCUUGGCCAGGAGUGGCCAACUGGGCUUCCCCAAACUCAGUCCUGGCACCACCUCAACUGUGACAAUCAGCAAAGCCUCGCCUGGGCCCUCAUCUGGGAUGAUGGGGGUAACGGACAGAUGUUCCAAUCUUGGAGGUCAUCCAUUAGGAAUUAAAUUCUCCAGCUUCA
rnacentral:lncRNA from 1 species